AGGACCUGGGAUGUUUUCCUUAUUACUCAGACGUGUAUACCCUGAUUUUGGAUAUCUGCCUAAUUCCCCAAGAGGGUCUACACAGGCCGAUGUGUAUUUUCUCUAACAUGGGCUGUCUCCCUGAUUGCCAAGAUUUGCCUACAGUGACCUGGGAUGUCUGAAUAGUCUCAGCUGUGUCUACGAGGAUGUUGAAAGUCUUUCAUUUCCCCAGGUGUCUCCACUCCAAACUAGGCUAUCAUCUUAAUUCAAAAGGUUUGACUGCCCUGAUGUUGCAAGUCUGCCAAUUUUCCCAUGGGUCUACACUGAUCAAGGAAUUCCCCUGAAUCUCCAGAGAUAAAGGGACCAAGAGAGAAUACCAUGAACAGCUACACACCAACAGAUACCCUACAUGAAGUGGACAAAUUUCUAGAACACGCAAACCACAACUGACUCCGGAGGAAAUAGAAACUCUGAUGAGACCAACAACAAGGGAAGAGAUUGAAUCAGUGAUGAAUACCUCUGAGCAAAGAAAAGCUCAG